rnacentral:rRNA from 1 species
CUCGCAGAUGAACGCUGGCGGCGUGCUAAUACAUGCAAGUCGAACGCUUUGUGGUUCAACUGAUUUGAAGAGCUUGCUCAGAUAUGACGAUGGACAUUGCAAAGAGUGGCGAACGGGUGAGUAACACGUGGGAAACCUACCUCUUAGCAGGGGAUAACAUUUGGAAACAGAUGCUAAUACCGUAUAACAAUAGCAACCGCAUGGUUGCUACUUAAAAGAUGGUUCUGCUAUCACUAAGAGAUGGUCCCGCGGUGCAUUAGUUAGUUGGUGAGGUAAUGGCUCACCAAGACGAUGAUGCAUAGCCGAGUUGAGAGACUGAUCGGCCACAAUGGGACUGAGACACGGCCCAUACUCCUACGGGAGGCAGCAGUAGGGAAUCUUCCACAAUGGGCGAAAGCCUGAUGGAGCAACGCCGCGUGUGUGAUGAAGGGUUUCGGCUCGUAAAACACUGUUGUAAGAGAAGAAUGACAUUGAGAGUAACUGUUCAAUGUGUGACGGUAUCUUACCAGAAAGGAACGGCUAAAUACGUGCCAGCAGCCGCGGUAAUACGUAUGUUCCAAGCGUUAUCCGGAUUUAUUGGGCGUAAAGCGAGCGCAGACGGUUAUUUAAGUCUGAAGUGAAAGCCCUCAGCUCAACUGAGGAAUUGCUUUGGAAACUGGAUGACUUGAGUGCAGUAGAGGAAAGUGGAACUCCAUGUGUAGCGGUGAAAUGCGUAGAUAUAUGGAAGAACACCAGUGGCGAAGGCGGCUUUCUGGACUGUAACUGACGUUGAGGCUCGAAAGUGUGGGUAGCAAACAGGAUUAGAUACCCUGGUAGUCCACACCGUAAACGAUGAGUGCUAGGUGUUUGAGGGUUUCCGCCCUUAAGUGCCGCAGCUAACGCAUAAGCACUCCGC